UACGAAGGGGGCGAGCGUUGUUCGGAAUCACUGGGCGUAAAGGGCGCGUAGGCGGCCCUCCUUGUCGCGUGUGAAAGCCCGGGGCUCAACCCCGGGAGGCGGGCGGAUACUGUCGGGCUAGAGUCCGGAAGAGGCGAGUGGAAUUCCUGGUGUAGCGGUGAAAUGCGCAGAUAUCAGGAGGAACACCAAUGGCGAAGGCAGCUCGCUGGGACGGUACUGACGCUGAGACGCGAAAGCGUGGGGAGCAAACAGG
rnacentral:rRNA from 1 species